AAUCAACGCUGGCGGCGUGCCUCAGACAUGCAAGUCGAACGAUUAAAGCUCUCUUCGGAGAGUGCAUAAAGUGGCGCACGGGUGAGUAACACGUAAGUAAUCUACCUUCGAGUGGGGAAUAACGUCCGGAAACGGACGCUAAUACCGCAUAAUGCAGCGGCACCUAAUGGUGACAGUUGUUAAAGAAUGUAUUCGCUUGAAGAGGAGCUUGCGGCAGAUUAGCUAGUUGGUAAGGUAAUGGCUUACCAAGGCUUCGUUCUGUAACCGGUCUAAGAGGACGGUCGGUCACACUGACACUGAAUAACGGGUCAGACUCCUACGGAAGGCAGCAAUCGGGAAUUUUGGGCAAUGGGCGAAAGCCUGACCCAGCAACGCCGCGUGAAGGAUGAAGUAUUUCGGUAUGUAAACUUCGAAAGAAUGGGAAGAAUCAAUGACGGUACCAUUUAUAAGGUCCGGCUAACUACGUGCCAGCCGCCGCCGUAACAC
rnacentral:rRNA from 1 species